UACGUAGGGGGCGAGCGUUGUCCGGAAUUAUUGGGCGUAAAGCGCGUGUAGGCGGUCCGGUAAGUCCGCUGUGAAAGUCGAGGGCUCAACCCUCGAAUGCCGGUGGAUACUGUCGGGCUUGAGUACGGGAGAGGCGAGUGGAAUUCCUGGUGUAGCGGUGAAAUGCGCAGAUAUCAGGAGGAACACCGAUUGCGAAGGCAGCUCGCUGGAACGUUACUGACGCUGAGACGCGAAAGCGUGGGGAGCAAACAGG
rnacentral:rRNA from 1 species